GACUGCUUGCGAAAAUCGAUUAUCGCAAGCGGUUCUCUUAAUGGGACCGCUUGCGAAAAUCGAUUAUCGCAAGCGGAU
rnacentral:pre_miRNA from 10 species